UAGGGAAUAUUGGGCAAUGGCCGAGAGGCUGACCCAGCCAUGCCGCGUGCAGGAAGAAGGCCUUCUGGGUUGUAAACUGCUUUUAUACGGGAAGAAAACGCCCCUGCGGGGGUAACUGACGGUACCGUAUGAAUAAGCACCGGCUAGCUCCGUGCCAGCAGCCGCGGUAAUACGGAGGGUGCAAGCGUUGUCCGGAUUUAUUGGGUUUAAAGGGUGCGUAGGCGGCCCGUUAAGUCAGCGGUGAAAUCCCACGGCUCAACCGUGGAACUGCCGUUGAUACUGGCGGGCUUGAGUUCGGUUAAGGCGGGCGGAACUGGCGGUGUAGCGGUGAAAUGCUUAGAUACCGCCAAGAACCCCGAUUGCGUAGGCAGCUCGCUGAGCCGAAACUGACGCUGAGGCACGAAAGCGUGGGGAGCGAACAGGAUUAGAUACCCUGGUAGUCCACGCCGUAGACGAUGAUGACUCGAUGUUGGCGAUACACUGUCAGCGUCCAAGCGAAAGCGUUAAGUCAUCCACCUGGGGAGUACGCCCGCAAGGGUG
rnacentral:rRNA from 1 species